rnacentral:lncRNA from 1 species
AGAAUACAAACUCUCUCUUGCCGGCCCCAAGAACUCAUAUCAGUGGGCUCUCAGUGCCAUGGAGAAGCACACAACAAUUUUGCUCUCUCUCCUCCUCCUAGGGUGUGUUGCAGACCUUGUGCAAUGUAAGUAAUCUGAAUUGUGUUUCAAUUGUUUAUCUAGUUUAAUUUGUGGAAUUCUAUAUAUGCCUGUAGCGAAUUCAAAUGAAGAGCAGGCUACUCUUAUUAAUUAGUGUAUAUGACAUAUAUUCCACGGCUUGAUUUUAAAUCUUGGAUACAUUAAACAGGCCGGCGGAUUGAUGAUAUAGGUGUUGACGAGAUCCGUGUGAACAUUCCACGAGGGAUUUGCUACCGUUCCGUGUGGAUAAGCAAUCCAUGCCUAAUUCACGAUAGGUGCUGGUGCUGCUAUGAUAACAAUUCUUGCUACUCUACCGAGGAUGACUG